rnacentral:rRNA from 1 species
AUGCAGUCGAACGAAGCCUUCGGGCUUAGUGGCGGACGGGUUAGUAACGCGUGGGAACGUGCCUUUCACUACGGAAUAGUCCCGGGAAACUGGGUUUAAUACCGUAUACGCCCUUCGGGGGAAAGAAUUUCGGUGAAAGAUCGGCCCGCGUUAGAUUAGGUAGUUGGUGGGGUAAUGGCCUACCAAGCCUACGAUCUAUAGCUGGUUUUAGAGGAUGAUCAGCAACACUGGGACUGAGACACGGCCCAGACUCCUACGGGAGGCAGCAGUGGGGAAUCUUGGACAAUGGGCGCAAGCCUGAUCCAGCCAUGCCGCGUGAGUGAUGAAGGCCUUAGGGUCGUAAAGCUCUUUCGCCAGGGAUGAUAAUGACAGUACCUGGUAAAGAAACCCCGGCUAACUCCGUGCCAGCAGCCGCGGUAAUACGGAGGGGGUUAGCGUUGUUCGGAAUUACUGGGCGUAAAGCGCGCGUAGGCGGAUCGGAAAGUUGGGGGUGAAAUCCCGGGGCUCAACCCCGGAACUGCCUCCAAAACUAUCGGUCUAGAGUUCGAGAGAGGUGAGUGGAAUUCCGAGUGUAGAGGUGAAAUUCGUAGAUAUUCGGAGGAACACCAGUGGCGAAGGCGGCUCACUGGCUCGAUACUGACGCUGAGGUGCGAAAGUGUGGGGAGCAAACAGGAUUAGAUACCCUGGUAGUCCACACCGUAAACGAUGAAUGCCAGUCGUCGGGCAGUAUACUGUUCGGUGACACACCUAACGGA